CUUUUGCUGGGAACAGAUCAGGAAUGCUCUUCAGAAUUCCUGUAAAAAGGGGCUACUGUUUUAAGGAGAAUUACAACAGGAAAUGCAGCUGUAAGGUCAGGAAGAUCAAAGCUGCAGCCAGAGAAACAGGAUGCUCUUUUUCAAGAUAUAUCUGGUGAUAUUUUAUAUUUCAUAUGGGGGGAAAGGACCAUAUAGGUCCAUACCCAAUAGCAAAAAAUAUGAAC